UUUUCUGACAAAAAUGAACUUGCACUUUUUAUUAAAUUACAAUUAAAUCAUGUAUAUCAUUUUUACUCUUGUUUCGGCCCUAUCUUUUAUAUAUAUUGUUUUUCUCCUUCUCCAUCCUCUAUUCUCGCCACCCAGAAUUCAUCACCUCCGAGGCAAUCAGCAGCAACGACUCCACCAUCACUAGCAGUGCCUCCAGAAGCAGUAGCAGCGACUCCACCAGAAACAACAACCAAUGUUGAAGCCUGAUGGGAUGGCAUUGGAUUAUGGUUUUAGAUACCAGUGAAGCUACUCUAGAGUACGCCUUCAUUUGGGAAGAAAUGAUGGGUCAACUAACUAUUGAAAGGCGUGGCUUUCUUCGAAGGGCUUAAUUAUUCAAGAAAGCAUUGGAUAAGCAUGGAUGGUAAUUGGAGAAAAUGGAUGACACUCUACUGCAUAAUCGGGUUCUAGUUCGCGUCAAAAAUUUUGGCAGCUUAUCUAGGGUUUGCAUUUUAAUCUCUAAGUUCCCAUUUAAGUGUUCUCGCUAUAAAUUCUGAUUAUUUGAUUAAAAAAUUCAAAAUUUUAUGGUAAUGUUCUUUAGGCCAACUCAAUUAUGGCAUUUUUAUGCUUGAUGUCUUUCUCUUGCUGGGUUUUUAUCGACUGCUCAAUUGGAUGAACAAGCUAUACUGUUAGCUUUUGAACAGGUAGUAAGAGCAGCUUGUAAUGUUGUCUAGGCCUGUGUUACUUGUGUUUAGUGUUAAUGUUCUUAAUUCGCCCCCAGUUUAAGUGGAUCAACAAUAAAGCAUGUCCUUCAGGAUACAUUGCAACCCCAACUAAAUAUAAACACAAGACAUACCAGUAUAUAUAUACUGUGGGCUGCAUCU